rnacentral:misc_RNA from 1 species
CAACAUUCCACAAAGAGCAUUUUCUAGCACCUCCGCCCACCCGCCCCACACACACCACCUCACCCUUCCUUUCUCUACACUGUUUCCCCCUCCCCCUCUUGUGUAUUUCUCGGCCAUACAACACACAAGCACGCAUUUCUCAGCCUCUCUUUGCCUUUCUCUCUCUCCCCCACUCUCUCUUUCGCCUUCUCCUCUUUCCGAUUCUUCGGUCUGGCCCUGUCGACAGUUGUGUCUUCGCAGAUCACCCUGAUCUGGACGCUGCACAAAGAACGUUUUCUUCUUUUCCGGGCCUGCUGCUGGUCCGCAGGAAGUGCCGCAGCGGCUUUGACGAAGAGACAAAAGGCGGCUGAAAGAAACGUAGAGCAGACUGACGAACCUCAGUAGCCCACACGGACGCUCCUCACAGAACUGGACAAAAACAGAGCACCGCCAUCCCUCCAGCCUUUCGCGCGCUCUUCCUGAUCUUUUUCUUUUCAUCGUCGAUAGAACCGCGAAGACCUGAGCCACACCUGCAGCCUCGCUGAUCUCUCUCUAUUUCUGACACAAGCACGGCUUACGAAGCUGAGUUCGGGCUGUUAUCCACGAAUACCCAAUCAGCUGCUGUCUGUGAGGACUGAAGUCGUGCCGCUUAACCCGGUGGUCGUAUUCCUUGCCUCUGUAAACGCCUUGUCAUUCUCGGUCGCGCUGUACUGCCUCGCCGCUUCCCUUUCCCUUCCCGCCUUUGUAGCUUGGCUGUCUCUCCCUCUCUCGUGGAAUGGAUACAGAAACGUCAUCGGUAGCGGCCUCGCGUGAUGGACACGCCACUCGCCAAGGCGAGUCUGUUUUUGAUGAGUACGAUGAGAUCAGCAACUUGACUGUCGGCACGAGCAGCCCAGUAGCGCAUCCGGGUAUCAAGUCGCCGCAGUCCGACUCGAAGAGUCGCAUGUCCGUGGAUGCGAUGACGCCGUCGUUCGAGGGCACCGCCAUCAAAGUCUAUCAUGAACCGCCUCAGCAACUGGCGCUGAGCAACCAUAACCUGCACGGCUUCACACGCCGAGUAGAGACAGGAGAUGUACCCCUGCGGUUGGACGUCAUUCCCGACGACGCCUACGUCGACUACGGCACGAACUUGCCGAAGCUGAACACUGAAAAGAAGGAUGUCGGGGAUCACAGAGAGGCCUCAGUGUUGACUGCCGCCGGUCGCACCCGGGACCCGGGCGACCUCAGCAGCGAGGUUGCCGACUCCGUCACGCAAUACAGCAACGCCAGCCUGCAUGGUGGCGAGACGUCCAUUGAAGGCAACGGGUGGAACAUUGAGGACGCCAGCGUGGAUCCGCAGGUAGGCAGCCCGACGCGACACCACACAGACCCUCUCAGCUCCGCCAACUUAAACCAGCACCUGCACGAGCUAUCCCGUGGCCCUGCCCCGCUCAGGGUGGAAAACAUCGCCGCCUCUGGUGUGCCCUACCUCCAGCGCCAGCGCAACGCGUCCACCACGACGGUGCUUCCCGAGACGACGGCAGCCAGCCUCAUGGUAGAGUCCAGCGAAGUGGAUGCCAUGUCUAACUCUGAGGUCGCCUCGCUGCCGCGCAUCCGCCCUGCCAAGCUGGCCUCCGUCGGCGAUACGAUGGACGACAUGUGGAGCACCACCUCCACUCGCGGCUUCGACACCAUGUACUUCGGCACCGGUGGGACCAAAGAUGAGACUCUGCAUGCCCUGUCCAAGGAGAACUUGCGGCAGCUGCGCCACCAGCUGGAGAGCGGCGAGACACCGCUGCGUCCGGAGGUGCUGGCGGGGCUAAGUACCAUGGUGCAGGCCAUGACGCAGACGAAGUCGGCCAAGUCCGCCAGCACAGCGGUGGAGCCCGCCAUGACAGAGGGGCGUUCAAAGCUCGUGGACUCGGCAGCCUGCCUGGGAAGCUCUUUGCAGAGCUUUGCAGACGCCCGCGGCCCCUUUUUGCUCGCCUCCGCGAACCUCACCAAGGACGGCGAUGCCAGUGCGGCAGCCGGAAUGUCGUUUCGCCGCACUCUCAUGGAUAUGCCAGCGAGGGAGGCCUGCGACGGCCGUGCGCAUGACUCAUCCGAUUACCCGAACGAGGAGUUUCUUCGCUCGCCGCACGUCGACGUCAGCGACCGCGACGUGGAUGAGGAGGGCGCGGUGGACGAAGUCGAAGCGGAGAACGCAGAUGAAGAGGAAGACCCCUUGCAUGUGAAGACAUCCACCAGCGACGACUCUUGCGAGGGCCAGAACGAGAGCGUCUUCAACAUGACUGAGGACGAUGGCGUCGACGACAUGUCUGACCCGGCGGCCAUGUCGCGUCACAUGCGGGAACUGUUCAAGCUAGUCCAGGAAGGUCGCCAAGAUCAGUCCCAUCUCCGUCAGCUUGUCCUAGAGCAGCGCAGCGUCAUUCAGUACCUGCAGAGCACCGUCAAGGAUCUCGAAGCGGAACUCUCUGCACUGAAAAAGCACUAGCAGAGGGACAGACCUGGAUACGUGUUUGUCAUAUGCUUCCCCGCUGUCUCCCCUUCAGCUGCACACGUCAGCGUUGACUUUUCCCCGUGAGUCUCUGUGUUGACAUCUUCUCUAUGUGCUUGUUGCUUCGAACAGUAUUUGCCUAGUCAGGUGCGUCUUAACGGCUCUCGUGUGCUACCUCGGUGGCACGCCUGUGGAGUUCUUCGCCGUCUCCUCCACUCAACCCUCCCCUUUCACCCUCUGGCCAGCUGCUUGGGUCUAUUACCGUCUGCCUCAGUGUGAUGUUGUUGCGCCUGCUGUGCCCACUCUUCAUCUUUAUUCGUUGGUGGGCGCUGUCCUUUUUCAUUUUUGUGUUUUUCGUUUGGAGGGGCUCUUUUUUGCUGUUCACUCUGUCGUGCCGCUGUCAAAAGACGUGCUUUACGCUGCGCCGAAGAGGCUUCAUUGUUGUUGUCUUCGUUGGGCUCUCUUGCUAGCGGUGUCUCACUCGCGUAUGUAUGUAGAUGUGUGUGUGUGUGUGCAGGGGUGUAUGUGUGUAUGUGUGCGUGCUUGUAUGCAUGUGGGUGUGUACGCCUACAUGUUCUGCGCACCCUCAUCCCCUUUUUUUUUUUGCAGACUUUCCCGGAGAACUCGCUGCACCUCUGUCCUUUUGUCGCAGGCACACAAGUCUUCUGCCGCUUUUGAUCGCGCUUCCCCAAACAAACACCCGCCAAACAGAGCUGGAAACAAAGCCUUUUCCAUUGUGUAUGUGCGUCAACUCUGUAUUGUGUGGGAAAGGGGAGAGUUCCUAUGAAAUCUAUCUCGUCUCCCUCGCUUUCUGUGUCAUUUUUCUUCCCUUCUCUGCUCAGAUGCCCCCCUCCCCACCCACCCACUCUCUUCCCCCUCCCUCCUUCAUUGUUCGCUCGUUCUUUGCAUGUGAAUGCAUUGUUGGUGUCUAUGGGUGCACUGCGUCGUUGGUUUUUUUCUCUGUCUGUUGCUUUUUCUGCUUGUGGACCAGAUACGUGCGUCUAACUGCGCGGGUUUGUGUUGAGCAACAACAUUUUGUUGUGCUUUGUUGAGCCACGCCGCGCUUCAGGGAUGACCAUCUCUCCCUCUCUCUGCGCGUGCGUGUCUGACACUCUCAUGUUUCUGUGUUUCUAAUAUCCGUCCAUCGGCAUCGAGGACCAGCGUCGAAGUUUCACGUGGUGCCGCCUUUGCGAGGGUUAUCACAACCCUGCACCUUCUCCCCCCCCCCCACCACCAACGCCGGCGCGGCUUGUUGUACCACCCUUCGAUCUAUCUUCGUGUCGUCUUUUGAUCAGAGCACCUCUUCUCCUCUACCUCCUAUGGGGCUGCUGGCGAGCAAUACAGGAUCGAAAAGGGUGCGCAGCUUUAGUUCUCGAUGUCUGUGUGGUCGUGGAGUGGAUGAAGGUGGCCGUUAUCGAUUAUAUCGUGUGUUUGGGGCUCUCCGCCUCCAUGUCUGCGUUCGAGCAGUUUGUGUCUCUGUUGUCUUCCAGGCUCCUCCAAAAUGAGUUGGGCGCGAACGGUGUUGAAAGCGGGUUGGCACUCUCCCUCAACUCCCCCCAGCACUCCCAUUUCGAGGUCCCCGCGCCGUCUACGAUCCGCAGCCAAACACAAAAAUGAUGAACAUAAAGGUCCGAGCGUCGCUGCUCGAGUCGCUAGCAGUUGCCUCGAGUUGCGUGCCGCACCCCUACAGAUGAUCAACCUUGCCCAUCACACCAGUGCUGCUUCUCUCCUUUUCUGUAGGAAAGCGACCCUGCGUACCCCAUGGGGCUCCCUCUUCUGUAGGGUGCGGUGCCGUGCG